rnacentral:rRNA from 1 species
UACGUAGGGGGCUAGCGUUGUCCGGAAUCAUUGGGCGUAAAGCGCGUGUAGGCGGCCCGGUAAGUCCGCUGUGAAAGUCGGGGGGCUCAACCCUCGGAUGCCGGUGGAUACUGUCGGGCUAGAGUCCGGAAGAGGCGAGUGGAAUUCCUGGUGUAGCGGUGAAAUGCGCAGAUAUCAGGAGGAACACCGAUGGCGAAGGCAGCUCGCUGGGACGGUACUGACGCUGAGGCGCGAAAGCGUGGGGAGCAAACAGG